ACUACUGACCUUGCAAGAGAACUCUCCUGCAGUGGAGUUGUUGUGAGCAACUGUGGGGAUAUAAAAGAUUGCCGACAGCAGACAAAAGGGAAAAAAAAGAAAAAUCCUGCGCAUAAAAGCGGGACUGAUAAGCUGUGCAGGUUGGCGAUAAGAAACAAAGGCAGUACGUGCCGAAACGCGCCGUGACCGGACCGAUAAAGGCCGCCGAUAACAGACGCAGGGCUGAAGGUGGCGAAACACAAGCAUCUGCAACGGCGCAACAGGAAGAAAGAAGCUAUGGAGAACGCCGCAGACGCAGGGUGAAGAUGGAGGGCUCCAUGUGUCUUCUACAGUUGCACCUCCUUUAUCCACGUACACCGACUCUGCUAUGCUGUUGAACACAUGGGGGCAUGGAAAUGGCACGUUCGUUCCUUAUCCCUUCCUCACUCUUACGCAAUAAAAUAAGAGAAAACAUCACAAACCAGAAGUUUUAUUCCCGUCAAACAAAAAGAAACUGAUGAACACUGCUGACUUAACAAAAAAUAUAUCCAGGUGAUCAUUUAUUAUGAAUUUGUCCUGCUCUGUUUUGGUUUUGAACUAGUGUAUACAACCUCUGGAGAUGACAAUACAAAGAAUUAUUCUUCAUAAAAACAAGAAAAUUACAGACAACCUUUAGUAUCUUCUUCAUGAGACUGCUAUACAACAACAGAGUGUCUUCAGUCAGAGGCUUCUUCAGCACCACUGUAAAACGGACUGCUAUAGGAGAUUCUUCCUGCCCAUAGCCAUCAGGGUCUACAAUGACUCUUUGAAGAACCUUUGAUAAUAUCAGUUACAUUUAAUUUCCCUUUUAGAUUAGUAAAGUAUUUUUGAACUGAACUGAAUUUUCACUUUAAGUUAAUUGUUGGUAAAUCACAUGAAAUCAUAGAAUAAUACAUUGACGUUUGCCGUUGUGACAUGACACAAUGCUAAAAAUCAAGAGGUAUAAUAACUUAAUAUCCUUUCAUCAUCUGCCCAUCCGGGGAUUUUUGAACUGCAGGUAAUGUUUGAGAUAAUUUACAAAAAUUAAAACCUACAAGGAAAGCCCACAGGAAUAAAAUGAUAAGAGUGUUUUGUCUGUCAGCACCCUCUGAUGGGCUCCGAUAGCGACAGUGGGGACAGAGGAACCCUCAGAUUAACCCUGAGUUUACGUUGUUGUUUUGAUGUUGUCACAUCCUCCUGUUGGAAAUCCUUACACGCAGAUUGUACUUCAUGGAAACAGGAACAUCAAGGGAGGCAACAAAGAGGCAGCGCGGAGUUACUUUCACUUUAAGUAGAGCAAGUCAAUCCUCGUCUAUGUUGGCUCUGCUCUUCAGUGUUUUCUGUCAAAGAAUUCCCAUCUAAGCUGCCCCGUCUUUUUGGGAGAGCAAUUUUGCUUUCCCAGAGAUACAGCAAGCUGUCCUCUGUCUGUCAGUCGCAACAUCAAGCACGUCCAGUGAACUGGCCCUGUUCUCCCAAGAAACUGAGUCCAAAGAUGGGCGUCUUGCCAUCUUGGACUCAAUCUGUAUCCACAGCUGCAUGCAGACAGAUCGCCCUAACAAUCGCGUCCAGUCAUUAAAGCCAAUUUUAUCUCUGACAAAAGAGAAAAAAGGAAAGUAGGGGAAGUUUUGGGGAGGCAAUUAAUAUUCCUAAAGAAACAGAAAUCUCCUUGAAGGAGUUCUCAAUAAACCCUCUCCCUGCAAAUAUUAUCCUAUGGCAGAUGAAUGAUGGCGCUUGUAUAGAGUAAAGCGUCUUGUUACAGCGGGAGAAGUAUGCGGCCCGUCAUGGAUGAGACUCAAGAAUUGAUAGCAGCUCAUAUCACAUUCAAGAAAUCUGGGUUUGCUUUCUUCUGGCUAUGCCGGGUAUGCUCUGCGCGAGCCAAAACGUAUCCAACCUUUUACAUCCCAUAAUGAAACCAUGCCCGCUAUCUGCAGGAGCAUAUCAGGCGUUUCAAUACCAUUUUGUUGUUGCACAUGAUGUGAUUGAAACAAAUGUGUGAAGGAAAACAGAGCUUCACUGCUAAUACAGUCUGUUUCUGUGUUUUCUGAUGGAUCAACGAAGCAGGACACGCAGCUUCAAAGCUUUAUCAGGACCGCGGUUUUGUUGAUAAUCAUCAAAAAAUGCUAAUGACAAUCUGACUGCUACGUGCAUCUUUGAAGCGCCAGAUAUUGGGCGUUAUUGCUGUCUGGGCCUAUUCAAUGUCCAGUUCUCAAUCUAAAUAGCACUAAUAACAAGCAGCUGCACACCGCUUUCGAGUGCAUCAAAUGUGUGUAAUCUUUACACGUCUUUUGUCUUUUUCUGACAAAAAGAUCCAAUAUUUUGCCACAAUGCAGGCUUCAAGUCCAACUCGGAAACUCUCAAAACAUUUCUUACUAUGUAAGAGGAAUUAUGUUAGAAACUGAAUUUCAAUUCAUUAUAAUUUAUAUAAUUCACUGCACCAUUGUGUGCAAUCUUUUUUUUUUAUCACAGCUACGUUCAUAAACCGCUAGUUCUAAAACACAGAACAUAUAAAAAACUGGUACAACAGGAUUUUAUGUAAUGUUCUACUUAUAGAUUAUUUCACUUGAAAUAAAGACCUUUUUUUCUGGAUGACUAGAUGAAUUUGGCCUUCUUGCUGUUUUAUUGUGUAAGGCAGCAGCUAAGCAAUAAUUUUACAACAUUUUUACACCUUUUAAGAAACUUUUUCCCUCAAAUUGCCAUCCACUGAGACACCAUUUGUUUUGCAGAGCAGUUUAAUUGGCAAUAUAUAUUUUAGCUCGUCUCUUGUAAUUUAGAUUAUGUGCAAACUGUGGUUUGGUUCUGUUCUGUAGUUGAAAACACAAUAUAUUUCUUUUUUACACAAGUCCCAUUGUGUCAGCUUUAACAAUUUCUACCUGUAUAAUUAACGGGGGUCUAACCUUUCAGAACUAUCCAAUCAAUUAAACACUAUUCCACUAAGUAGUUAAGUAAUCGCAGCUAAAUGCCCACUCAAAUGUUUUUUUUUUUUUAAAUUCUUUACUCUUUCUGUGUGUAUAUUUUUGUAUUCUAUCUUUGUGUGGGUCUAUUUGCUGUUAUUGCCUGUCACUUUGCUUCUGUUGCACACAAAUUUCCCCAUUGUGGGACAAUAGAGGAUAUUUCUACUCUUGCAAUAAUUUGAGUUUUUUAAAAAUAGUUAUAUUUACUGCAGUUUAAUCGUAAUAUUGUAGGAAUAAUAAAGCUUGGUGUGAAGCCUU